ensembl:snoRNA
AUCCUUUUGUGGUUCAUAAGCAUGCUAUUGUGUGAGAUGUACCUCCUUCAAAUCUUGUUGCAAUGUUGUCACGUUACCAAUCUGAUG